GUCACAAGAGCAAGGGGGGAUGUCAGAUGGCCUGGGCCCUGAGGAACAGAGUGCAUCCCUAGGAAGGGGACGGCCCAUCACCAGGGAGCCUUCUGAGACCAUUUUGUAGAUCUGAACCUGCCCCAGCCCCAGGACUCUGAGUGCAGCCAGAGGGGAGCCGGGCUGGAGAGUGGGGAGCACGGAGACUGUGGCCUGGAUGGUGCCAGAGCAAACAGGGGAGAGGCUGCCCCACGCAGAGGCUGCGGCACAGCCCAGAGGGUCCCGGGGCUGACUGGGUGGGGGCAGCUCCCAGCGAGAGGCCCCUGGGAUUUGGCCUUUGGACACUGGAGCUCAGAGGACCAAGUGAAUGAAUGA
ensembl:lincRNA